CAGAAUGUAGACAUUCACUCGUCAGACCCAAGACCUAAAAGUUCAUCAUCUCCCCAAAACACCUAAAAUGCAGGUCUCGAUUGUGAUUCUAGCUAUUAGUUUAGCCGCUUUGGUUGCAUCUGCUCCGACUGAAACCAAGACGGUUAUCAACGUAGACGGACCCGAUGGCCAACACGUACAGACGGGCGAGCCAGGAAAAGCCGUGUCCGGUUAUUUCACUUCCCGAAGCUUGGACGGAAUGGAACAUCGAACUAUGUACGAGGCCGACGAAAGGGGAUUCCGCGCCACCGGAGCCCAUUUGCCCGUCGCUCCUAGUGUCUUCCCCGUUCGACGUUAUUCCGCAUUUCCCUCAGUUUACCCCGUCGCCUCUGCGCCCAGUUAUGGUUACAGAUACGCUCCUGAAAACUACUACCCCUAUUAUUAUCCUAACAUCGCCAAUCCUAAUGUCCUAGGAGGUAAACUGGAUUCGGGUAAAGAUUACCUGCCGGCAGUGAACGACGAUGCAGAAUACGAGAACCUUGACGAGCUGUCGACCGAAGAAAUUGCCGCUCUAACCGAACGUGGCCCCCUCACUCCUAUCUUACUCCCAAUGAUGUUGAUGAACAAGAAAAACAUCAUGCUCAUGUUGUUGGCUAACAAAAUUAUGAUGGCUUUGGGUUAAAUCAUUUUUGAAAGGCAUCACGCCUUAUCGUCAACUUUAUUUAAUAUAGUUAAUGUAAAACUCUUGAACCUAUUAUAACCUAUCACACUGCUGUUUCCUCUUGUAAUUGUUUUGGUAGUGAUUACAAAAGAAAAUAAACAAUUUCUAUUAU
rnacentral:misc_RNA from 1 species